rnacentral:rRNA from 1 species
GAUGAACGCUGGCGGCGUGCCUAAUACAUGCAAGUCGAGCGAACAGACGAGGAGCUUGCUCCUCUGACGUUAGCGGCGGACGGGUGAGUAACACGUGGAUAACCUACCUAUAAGACUGGGAUAACUUCGGGAAACCGGAGCUAAUACCGGAUAAUAUAUUGAACCGCAUGGUUCAAUAGUGAAAGACGGUUUUGCUGUCACUUAUAGAUGGAUCCGCGCCGCAUUAGCUAGUUGGUAAGGUAACGGCUUACCGAGGCAACGAUGCGUAGCCGACCUGAGAGGGUGAUCGGCCACACUGGAACUGAGACACGGUCCAGACUCCUACGGGAGGCAGCAGUAGGGAAUCUUCCGCAAUGGGCGAAAGUCUGACGGAGCAACGCCGCGUGAGUGAUGAAGGUCUUCGGAUCGUAAAACUCUGUUAUUAGGGAAGAACAAAUGUGUAAGUAACUAUGCACGUCUUGACGGUACCUAAUCAGAAAGCCACGGCUAACUACGUG